UUGCCUCCUGGCUGAGGCUGGGGAAAGGAGCUGAGGGAUUCACCAGCUGACUUCUUUGAACAGGGAGGGGAAUUUGGAUAAAGUACCAGAAGCUGAAGCCAGAGAGAUAAAAGACUGUCUUAACUUCUCAACUCUCUAAAUGAGGUCUAGUGAGCAAAGGACAAGUGGAAAUGCAGGCAAAGCUGAUUUUUAGUCAAUGAAGCAUAUUCUCCCAGGAAACAUCCAGGUAAUGCCAGCAGCACUCUGCAUGUGCAGAAUAUAUGUUUGGAGAAUCAGAGCCUGACAUCAGCAGGAGAAAGACUCCUUUGCAGGGAAAUGAGGAAGUAGAGGUGAGAUGGUUGAAGGAGAGAACCCCUUCUGCCCUUAGCAGAAGUUUCCAAAGGGUACUUGAGACUCUUCUCUGGCAAAGGGGAAGAAUGAUGAACAUUUGAAUUUGAUAUUGACCUGACCAAAGCUACAGGAACUAGAAGGGAGGUAGGUCCGGUCCAGCAUGUGAGCACAGAUUUUGGCCUUCACCCCUGCUGAGUGCAGGGCAUGAAGAAGACUCAGUUCGUCAGCUGACUGUGGGCAGAGGAAGUUAGCAAGGACUUCUUCCCUCAGUAGCUAAUUAUGUGGGAUUGCAACCCCCAUGGCAUAACAGAUGUUACAAAGAAUCUCUGGAUCUCUCCUGUCCUUGUUCUGCUUUGUUGCAUGUGCUUGGGUGCAUGUUGCAUCAGUGCUUGGGUGUUUGUAAGUAGCAUUGCUGAGAGCUGUAGUAGUGUUUGAGCAAACAGCUUGUGAAAGGUGACAGUCUGAAGGUUUUCUUGCUUGUUUUCCUAUGGUCUGACAUCUCCUUGGGCUGAUGUCUCCCCACACUGCA